rfam:Ciona savignyi cont_23086, whole genome shotgun sequence.
GGGGAAUCCGACUGUUUAAUUAAAACAAAGCUUUGCGAUGGCCGUCAGCCGGUGUUGACGCAAUGUGAUUUCUGCCCAGUGCUUUGAAUGUCAAAGUGAAGAAAUUCAACCAAGCGCGGGUAACGGCAGGCGUACUUUGUUUGUAGACAAAGGAAUGGUUAAGCCUGCCUCCUCGUGGCGACCCCUGGGGAUCGAGUUCUUCGUGAGCUAAAUGGCUAACUUUAUUCCU